rnacentral:tRNA from 1 species
GCGCUCGUAGUUCAAUGGAUAGAACACUGGUCUUCGGAACCAGGUGUGAGGGUUCGAUUCCCUCCGGGCGCA